UGGGGAAUUUUGGACAAUGGGCGAAAGCCUGAUCCAGCAAUGCCGCGUGUGUGAAGAAGGCCUUCGGGUUGUAAAGCACUUUUGUCCGGAAAGAAAUCCUUGGCUCUAAUACAGUCGGGGGAUGACGGUACCGGAAGAAUAAGCACCGGCUAACUACGUGCCAGCAGCCGCGGUAAUACGUAGGGUGCAAGCGUUAAUCGGAAUUACUGGGCGUAAAGCGUGCGCAGGCGGUUUGCUAAGACCGAUGUGAAAUCCCCGGGCUCAACCUGGGAACUGCAUUGGUGGCUGGCAGGCUAGAGUAUGGCAGAGGGGGGUAGAAUUCCACGUGUAGCAGUGAAAUGCGUAGAGAUGUGGAGGAAUACCGAUGGCGAAGGCAGCCCCCUGGGCCAAUACUGACGCUCAUGCACGAAAGCGUGGGGAGCAAACAGGAUUAGAUACCCUGGUAGUCCACGCCCUAAACGAUGUCAACUAGUUGUUGGGGAUUCAUUUCCUUAGUAACGUAGCUAACGCGUGAAGUUGACCGCCUGGGGAGUACGGUCGCAAGAUUAAAACUCAAAUGAAUUGACGGGGUCAU
rnacentral:rRNA from 1 species